rnacentral:rRNA from 1 species
AUUGAACGCUGGCGGCAUGCUUUACACAUGCAAGUCGAACGGUAACAGGCCUUCGGGUGCUGACGAGUGGCGAACGGGUGAGUAAUGCAUCGGAACGUACCCAGAGGUGGGGGAUAACGCAGCGAAAGCUGUGCUAAUACCGCAUGUGAUCUGAGGAUGAAAGCGGGGGACCGAGCAGCAAUGUUUGGCCUCGCGCCUUUGGAGCGGCCGAUGUCGGAGUAGUUAGUUGGUGGGGUAAAGGCCUAGCAAGGCGACGAUCCGUAGCUGGUCUGAGAGGACGACCAGCCACACUGGGACUGAGACACGGACCAGACUCCUACGAGAGGCCGCAGUGGGGAAUUUUGGACAAUGGGCGCAAGCAUGAUACAGCGGUGCCGAGUGCGGGAAGAAGGCCUUCGGGUUGUAAACCGCUUUUGGCAGGAACGAAACGGUGUCCGCUAAUACCGGGCGCUAAUGACGGUACCUGCAGAAUAAGCACCGGCUAACUACGUG